rnacentral:rRNA from 1 species
AACCUUUACACUGCACGCCAGUGCGAUAAGGGAAUCCCAAGUGCGCAGGCAUAGAGCCUGCGCUUUUGUACACCGUAGGGAGGUGUACGAAUAAGGGCUGGGCAAGACCGGUGCCAGCCGCCGCGGUAAUACCGGCAGCCCGAGUGAUGGCCGAUCUUAUUGGGCCUAAAGCGUCCGUAGCUGGCCGCACAAGUCCAUCGGAAAAUCCACCCGCUCAACGGGUGGGCGUCCGGUGGAAACUGUGUGGCUUGGGACCGGAAGGCGCGACGGGUACGUCCGGGGUAGGAGUGAAAUCCCGUAAUCCUGGACGGACCGCCGAUGGCGAAAGCACGUCGCGAGGACGGAUCCGACAGUGAGGGACGAAAGCCAGGGUCUCGAACCGGAUUAGAUACCCGGGUAGUCCUGGCCGUAAACAAUGUCUGUUAGGUGUGGCUCCCACUACGAGUGGGUGCUGUGCCGUAGGGAAGCCGCUAAACAGACCGCCUGGGAAGUACGUCCGCAAGGAUGAAACUUAAAGGAAUUGGCGGGGGAGCAC